AUACACGUUACAAAAUAUUUACUGCAGAUGUGUUACUAGCAUACGACGUUCAACUACUUUUCUGAUCUCUGUGAGAUACAAAUAAACGAAUAAUUUUAUUAACAUCUUAAUUAUCGAUCAACAACCUGCUGAAGUUCAAAACUGCUUGUCUGUAAAAAAUAGAAAACGAGACUUACCGUAUUAUUGUUCUUCUAUCAUAACAUCUUCAAUCGCAUUAUUCCUAUUUCAUGAAAUACACGUUAUUUUCAAGAAACUGAUACAUAGCUCGAUCGAUCGUAUUGAACGAUAAAUACAUAAAAAUUACCGGUACUUUCGUAUCGUGGGAUGCGCGAGACGCGUGAUGGGAUGCGAGCGAUUCGCGAAAUUUUAUCGUUGGACGAUUCACCUGGAAAGAGCGGAGGCGAAUAAUAAAAAAAAAAAGGGUAUUCGAUCGCGUUGCUUGAAUUCCAUUUUUUAGGGCCCCCAUCUACUACCCUUUGGCCCUUUGGUGCAACUCUACAAGGGUCGCGUUAAUUGUCGAGCUGACACGCGCACGUAAGCCCACCUAUCGAAAACCAUGUCUCAUAAUAUAUCAGCGAUGACAUCGAGGCUGUCGUUCGAUCCCUUCCCAUCAAUUUGCGGCAGUGCCAUGUUCCCAGCAUAGACAUAUCCUCAUUUAUCCCAAUGUCCUACACGUCGCCAGCCAAUUUGCUAAUCGAGCCAAUCAUCCAAUCGUAUUAACCUUGCCGGCCAUUCAGAGACCCCGGUCUUCUUUUUAUUGGUUGGUUCCUGCGACAGGUUUCACAUUUGCAAACACACCAGCCUCCAAGGUGUUAAACGGUCUGGUCGUAUCGGGACACGUCGUUUACCUUUAUCGAUCGAUCUACAAGAGCCAUUAACGCCUCAAAAGGAUACUCGUUGCCGUGUAAAGGCGAAUUUAGACUUUACACUUUGGACAUGCAUCGUGAACGAUUUAUUCACGCGCGAAAGCUAUAAAGAUUGUUUCCAUCUGCGGUUCAUCCAGUCCAGGAACGACCAGUCAAAGAUAGAGUCAAUCUCUGCUUUCGAGUAGGAUUAUGGUCAGAGAAGCAAUAAUCGACCUGUCGAAUGAAACUAAGCUAUCGUAUCAAGAUCUUCUUAAAUCAAUCCAUAGUAUCGGAAAAGAAGAAUGGAACAGGUUAUGGAGUUCGAUCAGGAGAAUCCAACUUUGCGUCAUAGUUCAAAACUUUUAUCAUCCAAUACCUUUCGUCGAUUCUGUAUUUCACCGAAAAACUCGCUUAAUUACAGAAUCUAUAAUUUUACGAUUCAACGAUAAUUCUAUGGUUUUACAAUGUUUCUACUACUUUGUUCGCAACAUUGCGACAAACUACGAUUUGCUUGGUCCUCGAUUGGAUUAAACAGCACGACGGGGGAGACUUUAUUCAAAGGAAUUUCGAACGAGCUCGCAGACUACAAGAUAAAUGGCUCGCUUUAAUAACGAGAACGAUGGACGACGUACGAAGAUCGUACGAUGUGGGAUCACGUAUCGACGAAAACAUAAAGCAUCACUGGGGAUUCCUGGCACGCUCGGUUUAAGUCAGAACCGUAAUCCGAACGCCCCUUUCUUCCUUUAUUCCAUGAACUCCGCCCCGUGAAAUUUCGUCGAUAAAGACGAAACACACGGCAGAAGCAGCGUGGCAGACAGAUUGGCUGACUUUACGCGAUCGCUCGUUAACUCGAAGUAAUCGAAAAUUCUUUCAUCCGGAAUGGGAGAAAAAAAAACGCGUCUCGACGUAUGGAGGUAUUCUUUGGAGUCAGGUAUUUUGCCCUUUCUCCUGUAUCGAACCAUCGUAAAUCAUCCGUCGAUGUUUCCAAACCGCAGCUCGUUCUUUGACUAAGCAACUUUGAAGAGAGCCUGUAUGUACCGAUAUAUCGAUCUUCGUCUUUUUCAUCUUCAUGAAUGACACCAGUGUGCUCGUUGGUAUUUGCCAGACUAUCCACGCUAUUGCCUAGGUUUCGUAUUUUCUCGUAAUGCUUUCCUCCUUUUACGUGUAAUUCUUCGUAACUCGUUCCUACUCUCUAUGACAUCUACGUUUUAGAUCUCGUCUUUCAAGGGAAAUUACUUAAUUAAUGUGUCGUGUAUCCGCGUACUUCGAUCGGAAGCUUCGCAGGAACCGGAACGUAUCGAACAAAAGUUAAAGAAGCUGGAACCUUUCUUUUGGAAUUUUCUUUCUACAGGAAAAUAGUAAGUACCGCUUGUAACUACCAAUUCGUCACAAAUCUGUACACUUUGUUCAAAUUCAAAUAAAACUGUUAUAACAAAU